CGUCGGGCGCCCGCGCCGAGCCGAGGUAGGCGUUUCGGAGCUGGAUUUCAUGGCGGAGGAGACUCUAGCUGCUAGAUUUCGAGGCGUCGAUGUGCCGCCGGCGCCUGCAUUCUCGCUCGCAUUUCCCGGUGUGGGGAAUGGAUUUGUCGGCAUAAGGCGUUUGCUAGAGGCAGCGAUGGCGGCUGAACGUUCCAAAAGAGUUCCACACCUUUCAUCGGCACCAAAGUAUCCGGCCUCUAUGACUUACGAUAAGCAUCGUAGGCUUUCAAGCUUGCGUCCCAGGGUAGCCAAGCCCGAUAAGAAGAACGGAGAAUUUCAAAGGGAGUGACUCGAACGGCUGUUACACCGAUUCCUUCCACGCAUACCCACGGAUCGGAUCGGAGGGGGUAAUGCGUACAACAAGAGGAGGAGCCCAAAUCUAUUUUAAAGCUUGACAGCGAGCAUCACUUCACAGGUCUCGGUUGAGAAGUCCUUGCUUGGCGUGGUUGGAAGGAGUGCGAAAUAGGAGUUAAGGGGGACCCCGCUGACAACUUGUGUCAUCAUCUGCUUGAUCGAGAACAUCGACCCCAUGGGUUUGUUCACACUUUUCCACAGUAGCACCAGCUCAGAUCCUGACAGAAAAGGAUACGAGAGACCGCGGGACCAAGCUAGAGCCGAGAGAAAGGUGUUGAAUGCGGUGGCUCCAACGUCCAGUUUGCAGUAAAUCUGAGAAGUGAUGGUUAUCCAGAUGAUCGUCGGCGCUGGCUUCAAAGGUCACUGGUUUUUCUAUAAAGCUGCACUUUGGACCAGAUUCCCAACGAAAGGCACCUUGCUAGUUUUGAGCCAUCCAUGGACUGUGCGGUCACGAAGUGUGUGCAGAUUCCUCGUUCUGCUUUUCAGGAGUUUCCGGGAUCGCAGGUUCCAUACUUCCCAUUCAGAUGAAGGCGGACUUUCAGGAAUCGUUUUCGAAAGCCGUUGGGAGCGGGUGGUUUUGGAUGUUGCGAAGGUACCAAAGAACUCAAGUGACGCCGAGGGGAUUAAGUAACCAGUUCCGGAUAUAUUCCGUUUACGCGGAGAACGAGCUCGGAAGAAAUUAGCGAGCUGACUUUUUUCGAUCCGUGGUUCCUGGGACAGCUCAAGGAGUCAUUCGUGGUGGAGGAGUUUCUGUCCAACACAAAGCUGACACAGCUAUGUACCAGAUCAAGCAACGAGGUUUUUGGCGACAGACAAGUUACUUAUGCUACAAAAACUGCCGAACCAGAGGUUCGAGCUCACAGGGCUCUGGGAGUGGUGCCAGCAUUUAACACCUGUGCUGCAGAGUUCGAAGCCAACACACCUUACAGGUACUCAUCCUAUGACGAUAGCCCCAGGCUUGCAACAGGAAGAAGUUAUUGAUCCUUGGUGGUGGUCCCGAUCGUAUCGGACAAGGAAUUGAAUUCGACUACUGCUGUGAAUUCGACUACUGCUGCUGUCAUGCAUCCUUCGUACUUCACGUAUGUACAUGCUCCUCCUGUUUGUUCUUGUUAAGUUACUGCUUUGGUUGGUCUGUUUUAUGAUCGUUUCUCCUUGAUUGACUGGCGCGUUUUUUUUUUUCCGUUCCAGGAAAUAGGAUUUAAGACAACAGAUGAUGAACUCCCGUCUCAACUGGCUAUGAUGCGAGAGGUGGUCUGGCUUUUCAGCCGCGGUCUUGAAUAUCAUUGAUUUGGAGAAGCCGGACGGGCAGUUUGCUUGCCAAACAUCUUUGAGGCUGGCGGUGCCUUUACAAAACUGUCUGGAUGAGGCUUCUCCAAAUUCUAUCGACGCUGUCCAGGACAGGAAAGGCUGUUCAAGCAGCUGGGAAUAGCAGCUCGUCUGGAGGCAGAAGGCGCAUUGGAGAUUGCAGAGAGGCGGUCCUUGUCCGUCCUUCCUAUGUUCUUGGUGGACGGGCCAUGGAGAUAGUUUACAGCAACGAAAAGCCUGGAAGAGUACUUGGAGACGGGGGUUUGAAGUAGUCGAUCCUGACAGACGACAAGUAUCUGACGGGCUCUUCAGAGAUCGAUGUCGACUGCCUGGCGGAUGGCAACGGAGCCGGGGAAUCAUGGAACACAUGGAGCACCGAACACGGAAUGCUGGAAUAGCAUUCCGGGGUCACAGGGGUCCUUAAUGACGAUACGAGACGCAGGAGCUCAGCGUCUGCUGCGCUGAUCGACUGUCGCACAGAACUUCACAUCAUGGAGGCGAAUCCAGGUCCCGUUUGUUUCCAAGCGAUUGACAUCUGCUGCCAGGAAGCGGUGGAGCUAUGCUUAAGUUGCGAUAUAUAUAGCGAUAUAUAUUAUAGGUUUAAAAUAUUUAAUAUUUUAAAUAUAUAUAACCCUAGUUCACGAGAA